AAUAUAUAAACCCACUGAAACCAAGCUGAAGAUUCAGACUUUGACCAACUCCUGCCUCAACCACAACAGCUGAACCAGCAACCAACCACUCACCAACAAGGGCAACACGUUACAGGGACCAGGCUUCAGCUUCAUAGACUUUCCUUCACUGAAGACAUCUUCACCAUCUCUAACCAGACAAAACGCUGUCACCUGAACCAAAGCUGGUGCAUUAAAAGACCUUGUUCACAUCCUCAGUAAAAGAAGUUAAAGAUGAAGAUUCAAUUUGCUAUUCUGUUUGUGCUGCUUGUUGCCUUUGAGCCCAGUGAUGCUCUGACCUUUAAUGACAAGCAUGUCAUCAACAACCUGGACCCAAAAGAUUGUACUACAGUGAUGAACAAUAGAAAAAUCAAAGAAUACAAUAAAUGCAAGGCAAUAAACACCUUCAUUCUGACAGAUUCCACCACUGUCCAGAACCUCUGUACUAUGAAUGGAAAAGUAACAAGUUAUAAUACUUUUACAGUUGUUAUCUGUAAACAUGACAAAAUAAGCCCAGCUACUGCAUGUGUUUAUAAAGGUGAAAAACCAAUCAAGCAGAAAAUUGUAAUUGAUUGUAAAGCUGGUGUACCUGUCCACUUGUUUGGUACAGUGUAAAUUAUAUGUGCUAGUUAAAUGUACAAACAAUCUUAUAUGUACAUUUAGAAGCCUGUUGUCAAUCACCAAACACUGAAGUGUGUUAAUCCUGCCAAACUCACAAUAAACUCAGCAUGAUCAACUUA